CCCAGAUUUUAGUUUUAAUUAAGCUUUUCAGUAGUCAUUAGUUAAUCUUUUGUGUUUAGUAAAAAGUGGGUCUCAUUACAAAAUACAAUUCGUUGAUUGCAAUAUUUAAGUGAAAUGUUUAAUCCAACGAUCAUGUUUAGUAGACAUUACACACUAUGUUAUGUUUAUGCGAGGGGAGGAGUUUAUUCGAAAUUUGAACAUCGCUGUUAGUGUCAACUGUCCUGUGGCUGCUGCGCGCUGAAACCAACUGAGACAGAGGAUUUUUCUGGAACGGAGGGCUUUUGGAGUGCGACUUCAUACCAAGUGACAGACUAAUGAACCAGCUGACAUCUGCACACUGGUGCUCAGAGGACUUCCUCUUCUGCUUGGUGACAAGCCUACAGACUUCUACAAAACAUGCAUUGGUGAUGAUGGUGACUCGCUCCACCAAGUUGACAUU